UUAAAUUGAAGAGUUUGAUCAUGGCUCAGAUUGAACGCUGGCGGCAGGCCUAACACAUGCAAGUCGAACGGUAACAGGAAGCAGCUUGCUGCUUCGCUGACGAGUGGCGGACGGGUG
rnacentral:rRNA from 14 species